rnacentral:misc_RNA from 1 species
GUUGAGUAUAGUAGUUUUAACAACAAGAUAUAAUAUGUUAUUGUGCUCAUACAAAAUAUUUAGUUUCGGCCCCCAAAAAUGUAAUCAAAGCUCUACCACUUGGGGGGAGGGGGGCAGCAGGGCGGCAGGGAAGAGGAUAAAGAAGUUAUACAAGCAUGCCAAUUGCAAGAAAAAAAAUGGAAAUUAUUGACCAAAAUUCCACAAAAU